UACGUAGGGUGCGAGCGUUGUCCGGAAUUAUUGGGCGUAAAGGGCGCGUAGGCGGCGCGACAAGUCACUUGUGAAAUCUCCGGGCUUAACUCGGAGCGGCCAAGUGAUACUGUCGUGCUAGAGUGCGGAAGGGGCAACUGGAAUUCUCGGUGUAGCGGUGAAAUGCGCAGAUAUCAGGAAGAACACCCGUGGCUAAGGCGGUUCUCUAGUACGGUACUGACGCUGAGACGCGAAAGCGUGGGGAGCGAACAGG
rnacentral:rRNA from 1 species